CACACACACACACACACUAACACACACACACACACACACACACACACACACACACACACACACACACACACACACACACACACACACACACACACACGAGCUGCCAACAUCGUCGUGGAGACGACAGCGUCACAUGACCGUGGGGCGCUGUCCCGCCCGGGAGGUCGAAGGUCAAGGCGAGGAUCUCGUCUACUGAACAGUUCGCCACUCUGCGUGUUUUUCUAAGUUAUUUUUGUACAGAAGACGAAGAGCACAUUUUAUCUCCAAGAGAAUAUAAUAUUAUAAAAGGAAGAAGAAUAACUGACGAGCUCCGAGAUGAAGUCCAUGUACCUCAGUUCAGCAGAGUCCAGACCUGCUCCCGCUGGCCCCAGACCCCCCCCGUCCUAAUGAGGCCCUGGUUGAGAGCCUAUGGGGUCCCCUGUCCAGCUGCGCCACAGAGCCUAUGGGUUCCCCUGUCUAGCUGCGCCACAGAGCCUAUGGGUUCCCCGUGUCCAGCUGCGCCACAGAGCCUAUGGUGUCCCCUGUCUAGCUGCGCCACAGAGCCUAUGGGUUCCCCUGUCUAUCUGCGCCACAGAGCCUAUGGGGUCCCCUGUCCAGCUGACUCACAGAGCCUAUGGGUUCCCCUCUCCAGCUGCGCCACAGAGCCUAUGGGUUCCCCUGUCUCGCUACGCCACAGAGCCUAUGGGUUCCCCUCUCCAGCUGCGCCACAGAGCCUAUGGGUUCCCCUCUCCAGCUGCGCCACAGAGCCUAUGGGGUCCCCUGUCUAGCUGCGCCACUGAGCCUAUGGGGUCCCCUGUCCAGCUGACUCUCAAAGCCUAUGGGUUCCCCUCUCCAGCUGCGCCACAGAGCCUAUGGGGUCCCCUGUCUAGCUGCGCCACAGAGCCUAUGGGGUCCCCUGUCUAGCUGCGCCGCGGUGUGAACACGCCAAUUUAGAUGACCUGUCGGGUCGGCAGCAGUACCUGGAACCUCUUCAGGCCUAUAGGAGCACAGGAAGAAACCUGUGGAUGUGAUGUCACUUCCUGCUGGUGUUUCUGCUCAUAUGCUUGUCAAGGAGAUUACCUGUCUACAGCUGGGCUAACCUUCAUGGAGCGUGGCUAGCGGUGGAGCUACAGCUGGGCUAACCUUCCUGUAGUGUUGGCUAGCGGUGGAGCUACAGCUGGGCUAACCUUCCUAUAGUGUUGGCUAGCGGUGGAGCUACAGCUGGGCUAACCUCCAUGUAGUGUUGGCUAGCGCUGGAGCUACAGCUGGGCUAACCUUCCUGUAGUGUUGGCUAGCGCUGGAGCUACAGCUGGGCUAACCUCCCUGUAGUGUUGGCUAGCGCUGGAGCUACAGCUGGGCUAACCUUCCUGUAGUGUUGGCUAGCGUUGGAGCUACAGCUGGGCUAACCUUUGGCGUAGUGAUAAGUGAUGAUGUAGUUGAGUAGGUAUAAGGAUGAACACAGCGCCACAGCAGCCUGUCCAGCCAAUCGCAUCCACCGUGUUUCACAUUAGACACUUCGGCUAGCUUACUUUUACAUACCUGUUAGCUAGUCUGCUUGACUCCGGACUCCGAACUCUGACCUGCUACUCUAAAACUGCUCUUUGAAUCCUGGCUCUAGAACUGCUCUUUAAGUCCUAGAUCUGCUCUUUAAUUCCUAGCUCUUGCCCUGCUCUUUGCCGUACACGAUUAACCGAUCAGCGAAGAUGGUGAAUAAACGCACAGCCCCGCAGGUGAACAGCGGUGCCUCACAUCCUGUUGCUCGGCUUCAAAGUAGAAGUCCCCCUCAGGAUUCCCGAAUCAACCGUCUGGAUAUUCUUAGUGGCACCGACUCAGUGGUCCUAGUCAACCAGUCACCCCCCCCUUCUGGUUCUGAAUAGCGUGUGUGUGGUAAUGUAGUGUGUCUUCAUAGUCUAGUGGGUCUCCGUCAGACCUCAGAGGCGGUCGGCGGCAGGUCCGGACCUGAGAGAAGAGCAGGGUUCAUCCUGGUCUACCCAGGCCUUACCCCGGGAGGUACCACUAGACCGCCACCUUUUAUAAGGCAACGUCGUCACUGGUAGCGUUUGUGAUGCAGGGUAACAUGUUUGUUUUUUUUUAAGCAGAUGUUAUAACGUGUCACUGUAAUGUGUUUCAAGUCGUUCUUGGUAACUGAAAGUGCCCUCUGGGGCAGAGAGGAUGUCGUGGUGGACCCCUGUGGUGUUUUACUUGAGUGUUUUUAUAUUUGAGGUCUGAACUCUGUGAACCGGUUCACUGCCGCCCUCCGUCAGGGCGCCCUGAGCUCAGCAUUACUGUGAGCAACCUUUGGCCACCAUCACGUGGAUGUCCGUGCGCAGUGUUGCCAGAUUGGGAGAGAUAUCCCGUCCAACCUGGCCCAAUCUGGCAACGCGGUCAGUACCGCAACCGUUCCAUAUGUCCAGUGUGUUUUAUACUUGUUAUAAUGAUGGCCAAUCACGAAGCCACUGGUUAGGUCAUGUGACAUGUGGUGUUAAACCGGGGCCUUUGUGAUGUCAUCGUUCUCAUCUCUCUCCCCUCCCCUCUCCCCCCCCCCCUCCUUACUCGAGCUCUGAACCCCCCUUUUACAAAAGCAUAUAGAAUGUGAUGUCACCCCCAUAGUUUUGAUAAUUAUUUUCUCUUAUACAAAUUAUAUUAUGAAUUAUAUUUGUAUAUGUUUCGUAACUUCACAUGAAGCCUGCCUACAUUUCCUGGGUUGAAAUGUAGCUGUACAAUUCUAUAUGCAAGGACCAUGAAAUGUAUUUUAGUGAAGCGCUGUUAGGAUGUGGGAUGUAGCACAGUCUGUACUGUAGUCCGUACUGUCGAUGGAAGACGUCUUUGAUUUUUUUCUAUUUUAUUUGCCGUCGCUUGUUUGAAUUGUUCCUUUUUUGUGUGUUUGCAGACUUGCUACAUCCCAUAAUUUAGCAUUAGCAUUCACAGCCAAUCAAAACAUUUCCAUGGUUCCUGGAAGUUUUUUUUAUCUUUUGUAUGACAUCCUUUAAAGAUGUUCCUCAUUUGGUAUGAAAACAGAUCUAUAAUAUUUUUAAUGAUUUAUAUUGAUUGUUUAUUUGACAUACCUGAAAUUACUUGAAGUGUACAUCUGUGAUGCUACUCCCCAAACAACCGGUAGGCCUUCUGACCCCAAACAGCCAGUCUAGACUGCGCGGUAGGCCUUCUCCUCUAGGCUGGGCGGUAGGCCUUCUCCUCUAGGCUGGGCGGUAGGCCUUCUCCUCUAGGCUGGGCGGAAGGCCUUCUCCUCUACACUGGGCGGUAGGCCUUCUCCUCUACACUGGGCGGUAGGCCUUCUCCUCUACACUGGGCGGAAGGCCUUCUCCUCUACACUGGGCGGUAGGCCUUCUCCUCUACACUGGGCGGUAGGCCUUCUCUUUCCCCGAGUGCUCAGAUAUGUCGGUGAUACUGUUAUUCCUUCACUGUGAUAGCCCUCCCAGAGUGCUCUUAAGCCUCUGUUUUAAUUAUUUAAUAAUUAUUUACGGUCAGGAGCUAUGGAAUGAUCGGUCCUGUUAACAUUGAUCCGUUGCCUUCUCCAGAUACUUUUUUCUUCAAAGUAUUUAACUCUUCAGAGACGCCUGUUUGAAUAAUUUAACGAUCAUGAUUAAUAGUGUCUUAUUUUCUAGAGAAAGAUUUCCCCUAAAGUAUCAAACUGUCUAGAGAAACCUGUCCAUUGGAAGUUUUCUAACACCAGAAAGGUUUCCCUUUACUGUACCCGUAACUUAGAAAAUCUAUAUCUAGAGAUUCUAUAGCUAGAGUAAUUAUCUAGAAAACCCUUCAGGGAGUAUAUGACAAGAGGAGCAUUGCACUUAGUAAUUUCCAGUGAUAAUAAAUCCAGUGGUAUUUAUUAUGCUGUCAUCCGUUGAGUCUUCUGGCCAACAUUCCUACAGAGCGCACCUCUCUCUGUGUUGAUGUGGAACUCUGUCCUGAUUAAACUGCUCCUCAAAUCCAUCCUGUUUCCACAUCUUCCUUUCCCCACCACAUCCACCACCUUCACCGGUCCCCUGCUGGGCCAGAGCUCCAGUGAACCUGGAGACAUGAGUUAGACCAGACCAACACCAACCAAGCUCCGCUAAAAACUAAGAUUGUACCACAACUCUGUACCACAACUCCCAGUAAACGGGGAACUAUGAUUAUAUCGAACAAUUGACACCUGAUGGAUGAUUUACAUUUUGGAUUGCAGAGCUCAGGUGCCAAUGCUUUCAUGAUAAUUUAAAUAUGUGUGGGUGUGUGUCUAUAUAAAUAUGAAUGUUAAAAAUAUUCCUGAGUUGGUUCAACUUGACUUAAGUAAACUGAGCCCAGUGUUCCACUGGGUGUCGCCACAUCCCAGGGUAGACGCUGUCCGGUGAGAAGAUAAUUAAGUGUGGGGUUCAACAUGUUGUCUUCCUUCCAGCGGCUAGUUGGCCUCUAGUCAGUGACUGUACUUUGAAAAAAACGCUCCGGUGCUCAGGACUCCUGCUUGGGCGUCGUGCUCAAAUAACACCCCAUAGCGGAGGCCAGGUAGAGAAUGGAACCAGCAACCCGUCCUAGUGCAAGAAGACAUUAGAGCUCCUAUGUAUGUAUGUGUGUCCUCCACACACACUCCUACCCCAUAUGUUAACUGGUGCCUGCAGUCUUGAAGACAUUCACAGUGGUUUCAAAAUCGAUCCAUUUGUGACAUCACAAGUGGGCGUGAGCACCCAGAUGCAUGAUGGGUAGAUCAUCUCCCUCACCCCUGGUGGCAGCAUAAAUGGAACACCAUUUUAAGUCAUUAUUCAAUAAAUAAAUGCAUAAAGAACUAAAAAAUGCAUUUCCUGCAGAAUAUCCGCUAAUGUGCGAAGUGAUGUUAAAAAUGUUUUAAUAAAGCCAAGUUUAAGACGUAAAGAUGUUGAUUAGCUUACUUCAAGUGAAAAGAUUCAAAAAGUCUAAAUGGAGUUAACAAUGUAAACAUGCACACA
ensembl:lncRNA